rfam:Enterobius vermicularis genome assembly, scaffold: EVEC_scaffold0000218
GCUUCCGUGACGCAAUCGGUUAGCGCGUUCAGCUGUUAACCUAAAGGUUGGUGGUUCAAGCCCACUCGGGGGCG